GACGAACCGAGCGAACGUUGUUCGGAAUCACUGGGCUUAAAGGGCGCGUAGGCGGGUGCUCAAGUCCGGGGUGAAAUCCUCCAGCUCAACUGGAGAACUGCCUCGGAUACUGGGUGCCUCGAGGGUGGUAGGGGGUAUGCGGAACUAUCGGUGGAGCGGUGAAAUGCGUUGAUAUCGAUAGGAACUCCGGUGGCGAAGGCGGCAUACUGGACCACAUCUGACGCUGAGGCGCGAAAGCCAGGGGAGCAAACGGGG
rnacentral:rRNA from 1 species